GCCGGUGUGGCGAAGCAGUAGACGCGCCAGUUUCAGAAACUGGUGUCCUUAGUGGCGGGUGGGUGCGAAUCCCACCACCGGCACCA
rnacentral:tRNA from 2 species